CACACUUGAAAAGGAAUGCAUGGGUAACUGACGUAUGAACUUGUAUAUGGAACUCACACAAGAAUCCUCAUCCUGCUGUAGAGACUCUGCUGAUGUACCCAUCCCCCUGCCCAUCUAUCAUCCAGUUGCAUAAAGCAGUAGACAUUUACUCUGCUCAGUUUGGCUUUCAAAAGCAAGAAUAUACAGCAAGGAUUCCAAGGAGGAACUUCACUUUUGUCAAAAAACUUCAAGGGAAAAGAACUGUCUCACAGUAGCCUUCCAAAAAGAAAUACCUCUAUGGGCACAGGCUGAAGAGGAAUCCAACCAUAGUCUGAAGAUGCUGAAACAGAGGGCUUUGAUAAAAUUUUGACAGAGAAAACAAUAAAAGACAAAC